GUGUUUCCUCAGGAAUGAUAACCCGCACCAGCCUGUGAAAGCAGGCUGUAGUGUUGCUCUCUUUAGGGAGAGCCCCGCGGCGCUCGUCGCGAUGAGGGUUAGAAGUCUGGGGGCUCAGCCUGCGUUUGGUGCUUGGUGCUGCGUCUUCUCAUCUUACCACCACCCUUCAUGAGUACCUCUGUUUCCUUGGUCGGUUCGCCGGCCACUGGACCUUUAGUAACCAAUUUGUAAUUCUUGAAUUGUCUGAAUCCAAACAAAAUUAAAAAUUAAAACUUUCAACAAUGGAUCUCUUGGCUCUGGCAUCGAUGAAGAACGCAGCGAAAUGCGAUAAGUAGUGUGAAUUGCAGAUCUCCGUGAAUCAUCGAAUUUUUGAACGCACAUUGCGCCCUUUGGUAUUCCUUAGGGCAUGCCUGUUCGAGCGUCGUUUCAAUGUUCAAGCUUUGCUUGCUGUUGGGCGUCUGUCCCCGCCAUUUCGCGUGGGGACUCGCCUUGAAUCUAUCAGCGUCCGUAUGGUUAGGCUAAGAGCGCAGCAGAUUACAGCGCCUCGAAGCCUAGCGUAACGCCUGCUGUAAAAUUACAUUUAAACUUUUUUGACCUCGAAUCAGGUAGGGAUACCCGCUGAACUUAAGCAUAUCAAUAAGCGGAGGAAAAGAAACCAACAGGGAUUGCCCUAGUAACGGCGAGUGAAGCGGCAACAGCUCAAAUUUGAAAUCUGGCCCUCUUCUUAGGGGGUCCGAGUUGUAAUUUGCAGAGGGUGCUUCGGCGUAGCAGCGGUGUAGGUUCCUUGGAACUGGGCGUCAUAGAGGGUGAGAACCCCGUCUGUCGCCGCCUUGCGAUCGCUUUGUGAAGCCCCUUCGAAGAGUCGAGUUGUUUGAGAAUGCAGCUCUAAAUGGGAGAUAAAUUUCUUCUAAAGCUAAAUACCUGCCAGAGACCGAUAGCGCACAAGUAGAGUGAUCGAAAGAUGAAAAGCACUUUGGAAAGAGAGUGAAAAAGUACGUGAAAUUGUUGAAAGGGAAGCGCUUGCAGCCAGACUUGCCUGCGGUUGAUCAGCCGAGCUUUUGCUUGGUGCACUCUUCCGUAGGCAGGCCAGCAUCAGUUCGGGCGGUUGUAGAAAAGCCUUAGGAAUGUAGCUCCUCUCGGGGAGUGUUAUAGCCUAGGGUGUAAUGCAGCCUGCC
rnacentral:rRNA from 1 species